UGAAUAGUAGUAGGAAAAGGUACGCUAAUAAAGCGUUUAAAAGGGAAGUACGGUUAAAAUCCGUCACGGUACCCGCCACUGUUAUGAGGAGUUUCAUUUGCAAAUGUCACUGAAUUUUUCGGGAAGACGCAAUGGAAUGAUGAACCUGAGUCAGGAGACCUGCCUUAUCCUAUUUGCUCCA
rnacentral:ncRNA from 2 species